rnacentral:rRNA from 1 species
GACGAACCGUGCGAACGUUGUUCGGAAUCACUGGGCAUAAAGGGCGCGUAGGCGGCUUAUCAAGUCAGGGUGAAAUCCGGCAGCUCAACUGUCGAAGUGCCCUUGAUACUGACGAGCUCGAGGGAGGUAGGGGUGUGUGGAACUUCCGGUGGAGCGGUGAAAUGCGUUGAUAUCGGAAGGAACGCCGGUGGCGAAAGCGACACACUGGACCUCUUCUGACGCUGAGGCGCGAAAGCCAGGGGAGCAAACGGG